CCUUUCCUCUGCAGGGUUCAGUUAAAUCCUCGUCACUAUCAGCAGCACGUUCAGAUUCCAGCUGCCAAAAACCUAAACGCUGUCUGGAUUGAUAGCAAAUUGAUAGCAAAUGCUUAACUUACAGAGGUAAAAUGAAUCCCGUCUUCAUCCUUUCGUACCUUGCAGGUGUCAGUUUGUGUGUUGAGGUCAGUCAGUCUCCCUCCGAUCUCAUCACACACGCUGGUUAUAAAGUUCAGAUUUUCUGCACCUAUGACAAAACCGACUACAGGGUGACGCUCUGGUAUCAGCGCCCGGCCGGAGACUCGGCCAUGAACCUGCUGGGGUAUCUAAGCUACAAAGACGCCACCAUGGAGGAGACGUAUAAGAAGGACUUCAACAUCUCUGGAGAUCUGAGUGUGAACACGUUGAAAAACGCCUCUCUUACAAUCAGUGCUGCAGAGGAGAAGCACAGUGCUUUCUACUUCUGUGCAGCAACAUUCGGUUCUAUUUAAAUAAUCAGGAAGACGACCAGGCAGAGCUCCUUCAGUGAUUUUCAUUUUAAAAGUUUUAUGAAAGCUUUCAUCCUAGAAACAAAGGCACAUCUUUACCAUCUCACUCUAUAAAUGCCAUAAAAAAAAAAUUGAAUAUUCAUAAUAAAGAAGUGGGUGAAAUUACAAAAUCGUGGGAUUGCGUGCAUAUUACUCAGUCUCACUACCCUGGAAAGCUAUGCAAAAAAAAAAAAAAUUAUACAUCACAAAAAAAAUUAUUGAAGUGCAAUUACAGCAUUCAACAGCAGAGGGAUUUCUAUGACUAGUUUUUGAUUUUUAUCUUGUGCAUAUCUCUAUUGAAUGUUUUAGAACCUUGUCACAGACAAACAUUUGUUACUUUUGUUAUCAGAGAAGCAAAGUUUUCCAUCUCUGUCAGUCUAGAUACUAGCAAACUGGCAAUCUAAACAGCUAACUAGCUAAUUAUCUGUAGACCCAGAUAGAUAUAUAACUAGGUAGCUAAUUAUCUUAGCUAGAUAAUAGCUAGCUAGUUAAUAAUCUAUCUAGCCAGAUAAUAAGUUUGCUAGUUAAUCUAUCUACUUAGAUAGUUAGCUAACUAGAUAACAACUAGUUAGCUAACCAGAUAGUUAUCUAACUAGUUAUCCAUCUUAACAUCUAUAAUUCUCUAACCGUCUAGUUAAUUAUCAACAGACUGUUGGCCUAGCUAGCUAGUAUGUCUGUACAUCUGUCUGUCAAAAUGUAUUUUUUAAAUUAAACACUUUUAU